rnacentral:rRNA from 1 species
GCCAGCAGCUAUAUCCCCUGCAACUCUCAACUGGCUACCCACUGAAGCUAAGCAGGGUUGAACCUGGUUAGUACCUGGAUAGGAGACCUCCUGGGAAGCUAUGGUUGUGGCUAGAA